rnacentral:rRNA from 1 species
CAGUAGCCGCGGUAAUACAGAGGGUGCGAGCGUUAAUCGGAUUUACUGGGCGUAAAGCGUGCGUAGGCGGCUAAUUGAGUCGGAUGUGAAAUCCCCGAGCUUAACUUGUGAAUUGCAUUCGAUACUGGUUAGCUAGAGUGUGGGAGAGGAUGGUAGAAUUCCAGGUGUAGCGGUGAAAUGCGUAGAGAUCUGGAGGAAUACCGAUGGCGAAGGCAGCCAUCUGGCCUAACACUGACGCUGAGGUACGAAAGCAUGGGGAGCAAACAGGAUUAGAUACCCCCGUAGUCCCUGUCUCUUAUAC